GAUGAAGAACGCAGCGAAAUGCGAUAAGUAAUGUGAAUUGCAGAAUUCAGUGAAUCAUCGAAUCUUUGAACGCACAUUGCGCCCGUCAGUAUUCUGGCGGGCAUGCCUGUUCGAGCGUCAUUACGCCCCUCAAGUCCCCUGUGGACUUGGUGUUGGGGAUCGGCGAGGCUGGUUUUCCAGCACAGCCGUCCCUUAAAUUAAUUGGCGGUCUCGCCGUGGCCCUCCUCUGCGCAGUAGUAAAACACUCGCAACAGGAGCCCGGCGCGGUCCACUGCCGUAAAACCCCCCAACUUUUUAUAGUUGACCUCGAAUCAGGUAGGACUACCCGCUGAACUUAAGCAUAUCAAUAAGCGGGGA
rnacentral:misc_RNA from 1 species